AAAUACUAUAGAAUUAACUUACUUUUACCUACUUUUACUUACUUCUAUAUAUUUGUAUAUGUAAUUAUGAGUAUGUCCGUGGCUCCCAAUCCUAAACCCUAAAUAAAAUCCUAAUCAAAUUCUAAACCCUAAAUAAAAUCCUAAUCAAAUCCUAAUUCCUAAAUAAAACUCUAAUCAAAUCCUAAAUCCUAAAUUAAAUCCCAACUAAGUCCUAAACUCUAAAUCAAAUCCUAAUCCAAAUCCUAAACCUUAAAUCCUAAACCAAAUCCUAACCAAAUCCAAAAUCCUAAACCAAAUCCUAAUCCAAAUCCUAAAUCUUAAAUCCU
rnacentral:lncRNA from 1 species